rnacentral:lncRNA from 1 species
UGGAGACGGCCCAUGCUCAGGUUUUUAUGCCGGGAAGGUGCAGGUGCAUGGAGGACAUUGGCCAGUUGGGCUGUGAGGAGGAACUGUAGGCAGGGGCUUGCAGAGAUGAAGGGAGCCCUGGGUCUGGCUGAAUCCCUGGAUGGCUCAUGGGGCCUGUGGGCCCCUCAAGGGGAGGAGACCUACCCUCCCUUGAAGCCAAGCUGGGAGAUGGUGGUGCCUUCCAGGAGGGUAAGUGGGCACCUCGCUGCCUUCCACCUCUGAAGGGCCAGGUGGUGCCCAGGAUAUUGUUUUUGGCAUCUUCCUGGGCACAUGUGGAGACUCUGUUUCCCAGGGCCCUUUGCAGGUAGGUGUGGCCACAUGACAGGUUCCAGCCAAUGGAGUGUGAUAGGAAGUAAUGUCACCACUCCGGGCCUGGCCAUGGAAUUCUCGCACCACCUGGGCUCUCUCCUUCCCAGUAGUAUCCUAGCUGAGCCAGAGGACACUGAAGGUCUACAGGGCAGCAGAGCCACAGACAGAGGGAGCCUAUGCACUUGAGCGACUAUGCAGCCUCCCCGGCCUGCCUUCACAUCUGGUUGGACUGUGACAUGAAAUAGAUGUGAAAUAGAUCUUCAUCGUGUAGAGCCCUGGGCCUUCUGGGUUUACUUGUUACAGCAACUAAGUUUAUUUAACUAAUACUGGUUGGUCAGCAGGAACGUCCAAGGUGAAAGACAAAAUUCCCCUUCAUUUGUUCAGGGCUGUUCAAGUCCUAAGAUCCAGGGUUGAUCCUGAAUUAUUCCACCCUCCUCGCCCACCCCAUUCUCCAUUAGACUCUUUUGUAGUUUUUGCCAAGCUUGGCAAGUGGGGCCUUGAGUAGGGCUUAAUUUGAUCCUUAAAAGUAAAGGGAUUUCUUCCACCCUGAGAGUUGUGUAAUAGUUUGUACCAAUUACAAAAUUUGUGUUAUUUUUCUUGAUGGAUGUGAGCCCCUUGAGGGGAGGGCCUGGGCCUGAUUAGUAGAUGUCACAAAGGCCCAGCAGUGGGCUGGGUAGGCAGCAAUCUUGAGGAACUGUUUGUGGAAAUCUCUGAGUAUGUGAUGUCCCUGAUUGGCCAGCUCAUUCUGCCUUUAUCAUUUUUGGUUUGGUUUUUUUUUUGAGACCCAGUCUCACUCUGUUGCCCAGGCUGGAAUAUAGUGGUGCACUCACAGCUCACUGUAGCCUUCACCUCCUAGGCUCAAGCACUUCUCCCAACUCAUCUGGGACUACAGGCAUGCACCACCAUGCCUGGCUAAUAUUCUUAUAUUUUUGUAGAGAUGGGGGGCCUCGCUGUGAUGCCCAGGCUGGUCUCGAACUCCUGAGCUCAAGUGAUCUGACCACCUUGGCCUCCCAAAGUGCUGGAAUUACAGGCAUGAGCCACCGCGCCCUGUCUUCCUUUGUUUGUGUUGAUUAGGAAUAUAUUCACUUGCAAAAAAAAAAAAAAAAA